GCCGUAGUGGCCGAGUGGUCAAGGCGUUCGACUCGAAAUCAAAUGGGGUUCCCCCGCGCAGGUUCGAAUCCUGCCCGAGACG
rnacentral:tRNA from 1 species